GUCGUGAGAUGUUGGGUUAAGUCCCGCAACGAGCGCAACCCUUAUCCUAUGUUGCCAGCGCGUAAUGGCGGGGACUCGUAGGAGACUGCCGGGGUCAACUCGGAGGAAGGUGGGGACGACGUCAAGUCAUCAUGCCCCUUAUGUCCAGGGCUACACACGUGCUACAUUGGCGCGUACAGAGGGCUGCGAUACCGCGAGGUGGAGCGAAUCCCUCAAAGCGCGUCUCGGUUCGGAUUGCAGGCUGAAACCCGCCUGCAUGAAGGUGGAGUUGCUAGUAAUCGCGGAUCAGCAUUGCCGCGGUGAAUACGUUCCCGGGUCUUGUACACACCGCCCGUCACACCACGGAAGCAAGCAACACCCGAAGCCUGUGGCCUAACCCGCAAGGGAGGGAGCAGUCGAAGGUGGGGCUCGUGACUGGGGUGAAGUCGUAACAAGGUAGCCGUACCGGAAGGUGCGGCUGGAUCACCUCCUUUCUAGGGAGCUCCAGGACUGGAGCGGUCGGUACGUCCAGCAGCGCAUACCGCGCUGUUCGAGACGGCGCCGGCUCCUAGAACGUCGACCGAGCCUGGCUCAUGGCAUCCCCUCGGGGCGGCCUGCAUGCUGUUGAGUUUUGAGAGACCGGCGGCCAGUCCGGCCGGCGCCUUUCCACGGACCUUGAAAACUGCACAGCAAUGCCAACAUCAGCGUCCGCUCUUGAGCGGGCGCGAUACGGGUAUCACCGGGCCCAACCGGAUCCGCCUCGUGCGGAGCCGAGAAGGCCUGAUCACCGUCAAGAUAAGAAGGGCACACGGUGGAUGCCUAGGCACCAGGAGUCGAAGAAGGGCGUGAACGGCUGCGAUAAGCCGCGGGGAGGCGCUGAAUAGCCUGUGAUCCGCGGAUGC
rnacentral:sRNA from 1 species